rnacentral:rRNA from 1 species
UACGUAGGCGGCUUGUCGCGUCGUCCGUGAAAACCUGCGGCUCAACUGCAGGCUGGCGGUCGAUACGGGCAGGCUGGAGUUCGGUAGGGGAGACUGGAAUUCCUGGUGUAGCGGUGAAAUGCGCAGAUAUCAGGAGGAACACCGGUGGCGAAGGCGGGUCUCUGGGCCGAUACUGACGCUGAGGAGCGAAAGCGUGGGGAGCGAACAGG